UACGAAGGGGGCUAGCGUUGCUCGGAAUCACUGGGCGUAAAGCGCACGUAGGCGGAUUUGUAAGUCAGGGGUGAAAUCCCGGGGCUCAACCUCGGAACUGCCUUUGAUACUGCAAAUCUCGAGUCCGGAAGAGGUGAGUGGAAUUCCUAGUGUAGAGGUGAAAUGCGCAGAUAUCAGGAAGAACACCCGUGGCGAAAGCGGCUCUCUGGAACGGUACUGACGCUGAGACGCGAAAGCGUGGGGAGCGAACAGG
rnacentral:rRNA from 1 species